CUGUUAUUUGUGUGCGGUUUGCAUGUUUUUUCCCCCCGCUUUGGAAAAUCUUGGGAAAUUGCACCAUUGCACUCAUUAAAAAAAUGAUACUAGAAAAUAAAUGCAUGCCAAGUAGCAUUCGUUUGUUAUGUCUGUAGAUUUCUGGUCAGUUUCAGGCAGUUGGACAAGCCUGACCAACAAUCUAGUGAUUCCUCACUGCCUCUUGGGCAACUGCAGUCAGUUGAGCAACAGACCAGCAACCCACAACAACCAGAUGAUUCCUCCCUGGUUUCUAUGCAUUUAACUGGACAACAGAUACAACCCAACGGUUCUUCACAGAUGUCUGGUCAGUUGCAGUCAAUUGGACAACAGUUUAACACAACAGAACUCUAUGAUUCCUCACACAACCCACCUUCAAGCAACUGCUAGAUGAGCUCAAUGCCAAAAUGAACAGACAUGAAGCAGAAAGGACCUUUAGACCAUAUGACAAGUUUAAGUUUCUUGCUGUCAAGUAUGGGGGGACUCUGAUUUACAACACCAUCAUUGACAGUAUCCUGUCUGAGAGACAUGGUGAGAGCGGGGCACUCUUACAGGAAAAGAGGACAACUGCUCUGAUAUGGCAACUGCUCUUCUACAGGAAUCAAAGGCAUGGCGAAUUUGUAGAUGAAAGUUCUAUCUUUCUUGAUCUUCAUGGUCUUUCAUCAAAUGGCAUGGAGUUGGGCAUAGUUCUGGAGUUUUCAAGAUCUAAUUCAUUCCAGAUUCUUGCCAUUGAUGACUUCCAUAACAUCAACACUGUGAAGUUGCCAACUGGGAGAAUUACAGCAAAUGCUGUUCACAUGGCGACUCUCCUGUUACAACCAUCACAAGCAGUUAAUCUUCCAACACCAUCCACACACUUGCACAAAGAGAUCAUAGUGGCAAUGCCAAGUGGCAAUCUUGUAGAGGGGGUAUUUCAAGUGUGGCUGUCAGAAAAGUUAUAGCAGAAUUCUGGCCAAACUACUGUCAACUCUCAUUCUUGGCAAGUCUGCCUGCUGAAUUCAAGAAUAUUGACACUUCUGUGAUGCAAGACUCCUUAAAAGAGUUGAGGGUCUUUGCAAGAGAGGAGCACAUGGAGUGCCAGUCUCUUUCUUCAACGAUGCUGAUAGAUAAAUCUCUCCACAGCAAGCAAGAUUACGAGCACAGUCAUUCCUACAUCUUCCAAGUGCUUCCAAAACUUUAAGACUUCCUGAAAGUGAAGAUACUUCCAGCCGUUGGGGACUGGCCAACGUGGUAUUUUCACAAAAGAAGAUCAUCUGCCAUUCCGGCCCUCACAACAAAUCUUGUCAAUCGUUCCAGGUUGGGCAAUUCCAUGUAUACCUUAAUGACUCAGAAGAUGUUAUACUUAGAUACCAUCCAGUUAUUAAGGAGAUAUACAGUGGAGUGUUUGGUGAGAAAUGCCAUCUUCAUGAAAAACUAAAGCCUGAAAAGAUAGCCAUUUGUCUAGUCUUGGCCUUUUGUGGCUGGCUAAAAGUGAGGAAUGAAAUAAUUGAGGCCUUUGGACAGUAAAGAUAUAGAGUAUACAUGUCUGCACCACCUGUUUGAGGAACUUGUGCCACUGACA